GAACGCUAGCGACAGGCCUAACACAUGCAAGUCGAGGGGCAGCACAAGGAGCAAUCUGAGGUGGCGACCGGCGCACGGGUGAGUAACACGUAUGCAACCUGCCUGUAAGCGGGGAAUAACCCGUUGAAAGACGGGCUAAUACCGCAUAAUACUAAAUUACUGCAUGGUAAUUUAUUUAAACAUUUAUGGCUUACAGAUGGGCAUGCGCAUGAUUAGCUAGUUGGAGAGGUAACGGCUCCCCAAGGCAACGAUCAUUAGGGGUUCUGAGAGGAAGGUCCCCCCACACUGGUACUGAGACACGGACCAGACUCCUACGGGAGGCAGCAGUGAGGAAUAUUGGUCAAUGGACGAGAGUCUGAACCAGCCAAGUCGCGUGCAGGAAGAAUGUUCCCUAUGGAUUGUAAACUGCUUUUGCAGGGGAAUAAAGUGCAUCACGUGUGAUGUUUUGUAUGUACUCUGCGAAUAAGGAUCGGCUAACUCCGUGCCAGCAGCCGC
rnacentral:rRNA from 1 species